GGACUACUAGGGUAUCUAAUCCUGUUUGCUCCCCUUGCUUUCGCGCCUCAGCGUCAGGUUCAGCCCAGAAAACCGUCUUCACCACUGGUGUUCUUCCACAUAUCUACGCAUUUCACCGCUACACGUGGAAUUCCGUUUUCCCUAACUGUCCUCUAGUGAGAUAGUUUCAAAUGCAGCUCUGGGGUUGAGCCCCAGAAUUUCACAUCUGACUUAUCUUACCGCCUACGCGCCCUUUACGCCCAGUAAUUCCGAUCAAUGCUUGCACCCUCCGUAUUACCGCGGCUGCUGGCAC
rnacentral:rRNA from 1 species